ACGGAAGGCAGCAGUGGGGAAUAUUGCACAAUGGGCGCAAGCCUGAUGCAGCGACGCCGCGUGAGGGAUGACGGCCUUCGGGUUGUAAACCUCUUUCAGCAGGGGAGAAGCGAAAGUGACGGUACCUGCAGAAGAAGCGCCGGCUAACUACGUGCCAGCAGCCGCGGUAAUACGUAGGGCGCGAGCGUUGUCCGGAAUUAUUGGGCGUAAAGAGCUUGUAGGCGGUUUGUCGCGUCUGCUGUGAAAGCCCGGGGCUUAACCCCGGGUUUGCAGUGGGUACGGGCAGACUAGAGUGCAGUAGGGGAGACUGGAAUUCCUGGUGUAGCGGUGAAAUGCGCAGAUAUCAGGAGGAACACCAAUGGCGAAGGCAGGUCUCUGGGCUGUAACUGACGCUGAGAAGCGAAAGCAUGGGGAGCGAACAGGAUUAGAUACCCUGGUA
rnacentral:rRNA from 1 species